rnacentral:rRNA from 1 species
UUUCCGGUUGAUCCCGCCGGACCUGACUGCUAUCGGAUUGAUACUAAGCCAUGCGAGUCUUUGUAGUAAUACAAGGCAUACGGCUCAGUAACACGUAGUCAACCUACCCUAUGGACAAGAAUAAUCUCGGGAAACUGGGCAUAAUUCUUGAUAGAUCAUAAUGCCUGGAAUGGUUUAUGGUUAAAAUGAUUCGUCGCCAUAGGAUGGGACUGCGGCCUAUCAGCUUGUUGGUGAGGUAAUGGCCCACCAAGGCGAUUACAGGUACGGGCUCUGAGAGGAGAAGCCCGGAGAUGGGUACUGAGACACGGACCCAGGCCCUAUGGGGCGCAGCAGGCGAGAAAACUUUGCAAUGUGCGAAAGCACGACAAGGUUAAUCCGAGUGAUUUCUGCUAAAGAAAUCUUUUGCCAGUCAUAAAACCACUGGUGAAUAAGGGGUGGGCAAGUUCUGGUGUCAGCCGCCGCGGUAAAACCAGCACCUCAAGUGGUCAGGAUGAUUAUUGGGCCUAAAGCAUCCGUAGCCGGCUUUGUUAGUUUUCGGUUAAAUCCAUGUGCUCAACACAUGGGCUGCCGAAAAUACUGCAUAGCUAGGGAGUGGGAGAGGUAGACGGUACUCAGUAGGAAGGGGUAAAAUCCUUUGAUCUAUUGAUGACCACCUGUGGCGAAGGCGGUCUACCAGAACACGUUCGACGGUGAGGGAUGAAAGCUGGGGGAGCAAACCGGAUUAGAUACCCGGGUAGUCCCAGCUGUAAACGAUGCAGACUCGAUGAUGCAUUGGCAUAAUAGCCAGUGCAGUGUCGCAGGGAAGCCGUUAAGUCUGCCGCCUGGGAAGUACGUACGCAAGUAUGAAACUUAAAGGAAUUGGCGGGGGAGCACCACAAGGGGUGAAGCCUGCGGUUCAAUUGGAGUCAACGCCGGG